UGGGCAGAGGCCGUCGAGGUGGACAACACCGCCCUCUCUGAGGGCCCACCAACCCCCAAUGAUGACAAAGUUCCAGCAGCUGCCACAGGCUGGACCGAGGUGGACCCGGGGUUGGGCUCUACUCCCUACGACCCUCCCGCAAUAUGCUACCUGUAUCGUGGCCCAGGAGACCUGGCCCACUGGACAUUGUACCAGUGGGCAGCCAGCAUAGGUGUCAUCCCUCGCGCAAACACCAGUGACAAGACACCGUUUUGCUGUUCAUAUACAUGUGUUGUCCUUGAUACCUUGAGCAGCGAACUUAGGCAAGAAGGUGUGUGUCUAGAGAAUGGAGUUGUAUCUGCACACCUGGUGAGCACCCAGCGCAGCCUACAGAGCUCACAGUUCCUCACUGAGGCUGCAAUCUGGCCAUUCGACACAGAACAAGCAGUGUAUUAUUGUGCCGUGCUGGCAGGCCCUGUGGACUUCACUUUGGGAAUUCCCUGGGCUCCUGGCCAGGAUUCUUGCCUGUACCAUGAGAGGCCCCAGCGCUGGGCCUGUGC